UACGUUCCCGGGCCUUGUACACACCGCCCGUCACACCAUGGGAGUUGGUUUUACCCGAAGGCGGCCCGCCAACCGUAAGGAGGCAGCCGACCACGGUAAGGUCAGCGACUGGGGUG
rnacentral:rRNA from 1 species